rfam:Myotis lucifugus cont2.68551, whole genome shotgun sequence.
GUGGGCAUCUUACCGGACAGUGCUGGAUUUCUCGGCUCGACUCUAACACUGUCUGGUAACGAUGUUCAA